rnacentral:rRNA from 1 species
GAUGAACGCUGGCGGCGUGCCUAAUACAUGCAAGUCGAGCGAACGGACGAGAAGCUUGCUUCUCUGAUGUUAGCGGCGGACGGGUGAGUAACACGUGGAUAACCUACCUAUAAGACUGGGAUAACUUCGGGAAACCGUAGCUAAUACCGGAUAAUAUUUUGAACCGCAUGGUUCAAAAGUGAAAGACGGUCUUGCUGUCACUUAUAGAUGGAUCCGCGCUGCAUUAGCUAGUUGGUAAGGUAACGGCUUACCAAGGCAACGAUGCAUAGCCGACCUGAGAGGGUGAUCGGCCACACUGGAACUGAGACACGGUCCAGACUCCUACGGGAGGCAGCAGUAGGGAAUCUUCCGCAAUGGGCGAAAGCCUGACGGAGCAAUGCCGCGUGAGUGAUGAAGGUCUUCGGAUCGUAAAACUCUGUUAUUAGGGAAGAACAUAUGUGUAAGUAACUGUGCACAUCUUGACGGUACCUAAUCAGAAAGCCACGGCUAACUCCGUG